ensembl:snRNA U6 U6 spliceosomal RNA
GUGCUCACUUAGGCAGCACAUAUACUAAGAUUGGAACCAUAUAAAGGAGAUUAGCAUGUCCCCUGUGCAAGGAUGACAUGCAUAUUUAAAAUAAUAAUAAUAUUAAC